UGCGGAGUCGUCCAACUGGCAGGACGCCGUUCUUUGAAAUCGGAAAUUUUGGUUCGACCCCAAACUCCGCAGCCA
rnacentral:tRNA from 1 species